rnacentral:rRNA from 1 species
UACGUAGGGUGCGAGCGUUAAUCGGAAUUACUGGGCGUAAAGCGUGCGCAGGCGGUUUUGUAAGCCAGAUGUGAAAGCCCCGGGCUUAACCUGGGAAUGGCAUUUGGGACUGCAAGGCUUGAGUGCGGCAGAGGAGACUGGAAUUCCUGGUGUAGCAGUGAAAUGCGUAGAUAUCAGGAGGAAUACCGAUGGCGAAGGCAGGUCUCUGGGCUGACACUGACGCUCAUGCACCGAAAGCGUGGGGAGCAAACAGG